rnacentral:rRNA from 1 species
CAAUAGCGUAUAUUUAAGUUGCUGCAGUUAAAAAGCUCGUAGUUGGAUUUCGGGUGGGAAUGGCCGGUCCGUCGUUUCGGUGUGCACUUGCUACGCCCACCUUGCUGCCGGGGACGUGCUCUUGAGUUCACGCUCGGGACACGGAGUCGGCGAGGUUACUUUGAGUAAAUUAGAGUGUUCAAAGCAGGCCUACGCUCUGAAUACAUUAGCAUGGAAUAACACGAUAGGACUCUGGCCUAUCUUGUUGGUCUGUAGGACCGGAGUAAUGAUUAAGAGGGACAGUCGGGGGCAUUCGUAUUUCAUUGUCAGAGGUGAAAUUCUUGGAUUUAUGAAAGACGAACUACUGCGAAAGCAUUUGCCAAGGAUGUUUUCAUUAA